AGCAGAUGCUUUAGGGCCUGG
rnacentral:siRNA from 1 species